AUCGCUUCUCGGCCUAAUGGCUAAGAUCAAGUGUAGUAUCUGUUCUUAUCAGUUUAAUAUCUGGUACGCCGGCACAGUCCGGCUCAUAUAUUAAUCUGAUUUUUGGCAUUAGGUCAUGGGAUCAUAGGUUUACCUUGCCCUGACCACGGGUUGCCUCGGCUUUGCACUACUGCUGAGCGCGGCCCAGAUUGG
rnacentral:snRNA from 1 species